CAAUAGCCCCGAUCGAAGUGAUAUCCUUUUCAUGCUUCUUUAGCAGGAAAGAUAUAACGAAGAGCGGGACUAAAG
rnacentral:ncRNA from 2 species